rnacentral:rRNA from 1 species
CCUACGGGGUGCUGCAGUGAGGAAUAUUGGUCAAUGGGCGCGAGCCUGAACCAGCCAAGUCGCGUGAGGGAGGACGGCCCUACGGGUUGUAAACCUCUUUUGCCGGGGAGCAACGGGCGUCACGUGUGGCGUCACUGAGAGUACCCGGAGAAAAAGCAUCGGCUAACUCCGUGCCAGCAGCCGCGGUAAUACGGGGGGUGCAAGCGUUGUCCGGAAUCAUUGGGCGUAAAGCGUUCGUAGGCGGCAAGGUAAGUCUGAUGUUAAAGCCCGGGGCUCAACUCCGGUUCGGCAUUGGAUACUAUCUAGCGAGAAUGUGGUAGAGGUAAAGGGAAUGCCUGGUGUAGCGGUGAAAUGCGUAGAUAUCAGGAGGAACAUCGGUGGCGAAAGCGCUUUACUGGACCAUUAUUGACGCUGAGGAACGAAAGCCAGGGGAGCAAAUGGGAUUAGAUACCCCUGUAGUC